rnacentral:rRNA from 1 species
GAUGAACGCUGGCGGCGUGCCUAAUACAUGCAAGUCGAGCGAACGGACGAGAAGCUUGCUUCUUUGAUGUUAGCGGCGGACGGGUGAGUAACACGUGGAUAACCUACCUAUAAGACUGGGAUAACUUCGGGAAACCGGAGCUAAUACCGGAUAAUAUUUUGAACCGCAUGGUUCAAAAGUGAAAGACGGUCUUGCUGUCACUUAUAGAUGGAUCCGCGCUGCAUUAGCUAGUUGGUAAGGUAACGGCUUACCAAGGCAACGAGGCAUAGCCGACCUGAGAGAGUGAUCGCCCGCAUUGGAACUGAGACACGGUCCAGACUCCUGAGGGAGGCAGCAGUAGGGAAUCUGCCGCAAUAGGCGAAAGCCUGACGGAGCAGCGCCGCGUGAGUGAUGAAGGUCUUCGGAUCGUAAAACUCUGUUAUUAGGGAAGAACAUAUGUGUAAGUAGCUGUGCACAUCUUGACGGUACCUAAUCAGAAAGCAACGGCUAACUACGUG